CACACACACACACACCAAAAGCCAGGUCACGGAUGCACACCUCGUUUGGGCAACGAUAUCAGGGGACGCAGACUGUAGGGGAUUUACUACGGUUCGUCUGAACCAAGACAGACUCGCAAAUUCACAUAUUUAUUUCGUUCAAUAUCAAUUUACAGAAAAAUCUGCCUGAUCCCCAAAUGGUCCCCUUCCUCUGGACACAUGCCGAACUGCCCAGGCUGCAGCACCGUCCCUGGGAUGUUGUCCCAAAGAACAGCUACUAGAGGAUCCUUCCGAGUUUGGUUCUGAAACCUGUCUGACUCAGGACAGUGAGCAUCAGAUCAUCACACCCCAGGCGAGCCUGCAACUGAUCCAGUGAUUUUCAAGGUGGGAGGUCAAUGUGCACACAGCCAGCCCACAUAAUCACGUCCGGUACAGUCUGCUCUGUGUCCCCAGCCGCCUCUGCAGUGACGAACUGGCGGGGGUAGAAGCAUUCUCCCUACGUGCCUCUUCAGGAAGACAGGACCCUCCAUUACACUUUCAUUUAUCGAUAUUUCUACCUUCAGUGUUUUAAAUACUUUUCAGGACUUGUCUGAUGUCACCAUGACACAUUUGUUUUGCGUAUUAGGUAAUCUGUACUGAGUUUUUGUAUUUCUUUUAUUUAACUGUAUUUUUUAAAGUUUGUGAGUUUU